GUGGGGAAUAUUGCACAAUGGGCGAAAGCCUGAUGCAGCAACGCCGCGUGAGGGACGACGGCCUUCGGGUUGUAAACCUCUUUUAGUAGGGAAGAAGCGAAAGUGACGAUACCUGCAGAAAAAGCACCGGCUAACUACGUGCCAGCAGCCGCGGUAAUACGUAGGGUGCAAGCGUUAUCCGGAAUUAUUGGGCGUAAAGAGCUCGUAGGCGGUCUGUCGCGUCUGCUGUGAAAACUGGAGGCUCAACCUCCAGCCUGCAGUGGGUGCGGGCAGACUAGAGUGCGGUAGGGGAGAUUGGAAUUCCUGGUGUAGCGGUGGAAUGCGCAGAUAUCAGGAGGAACACCGAUGGCGAAGGCAGAUCUCUGGGCCGUAACUGGCGCUGAGGAGCGAAAGCGUGGGGAGCGAACAGGAUUAGAAACCCCAGUAGUCC
rnacentral:rRNA from 1 species